UUUCAUGUGUAUUUCCCGUGCUAUGGCUUCUGUGAUCUCCGAGAAAUCAAAUGUUAAAUAGAGAAAGAGGAUCUUAUGGCAUCAAUAUAGAGCAUAAUGACGGAGAGGAAACCAAGAGGCACAAAAAGGGUCAUGAGUUCAUUAUCAUACCAUAUCAAACGGAAAGUUUUGUCUUCCUCAUCAGUUUUUUCCUGCCUCGCCAGUUUUUCAUUUAAUCCAUUCAUAUACAUGCCAUGCUAUAUACAGUGGUAAGCAUAGCUCCUUGCGGGGCCUCCACACACAAGAAAUAUGUUCUGUAUCUGACAUGCAAGAUGGACGGAAAUGUUCGUCGCGCAUCUUGAGGCGGCGACGUUGUUGGGUCCUGGAGGAAGAGCUAAGGCAGGAAUGAAAAAGUUAUCAGUCCACAAGAAGAAUCUAAAGACGUAGUACUGCGGACGUGUGGCAUGAUAAUGUUUACUCAAAUAAAAAGUCAUAAAAUUUAGGCAGGUACCAACAAGUAGAGUGUGCCAGGGCGGCUCCUCUGUGCCCAGGUGUCUACUGCCUCCUCCUACAAACCCACCACAAGUUGGAUGGCCCUCGCCUAACUUGGGGCCGCCACACACAGUACCUGGUGACCUCAUGCCUCAAGAGCCUUGACCUCAUGAAGCCCCUUGCAGAGCUCUGACAUCCUGAGGUGGAAUCACAGGCAUGACAGAAAAGCACUGGAGAGGCAAAGAACUGCAGACUGCCUGAGUGAUGGAUGUGUGAUGUGGGCAGCAGGAAGGGCAGGUGGAAGUGGUGUCCAGAACCCUAAGUUUGGUGUGCGGCAGGUCACAGUGUGGGCGGGGCAGAGGGAAGCCCUCUAUGGUCUCCCGUAUGUGUGCGAGACAAUAGCAUGUGGCAUCUGUUGCAUGUUCUGAAGUUGCUCCAGCCUCUCUGUGUGGACAUGGCAUAUGGCAGUGAGCAUAGCUGGGAGGAGUGGAGUGAGCAUGGCUGAGAGGAUUUGAAGUGAGUCUGGCUGGGAGGAUUGGAGGCAAGCAUGGAUGGAGAAGAGGGUAAGACCAACACGGGUUGUUGCAGUGGCUCCCAAGCUGGGCAGUGCUCCAGUUUGUUGGCCAUUUUGUUUUACCUAAGGGAGGGAGUUGGACAACCCUUUGCUUGAGUUUCAUGUAAAACUUGAUAAUUACAUUGAUUGCUUUUGAUCAAUCUGCAGAAAAUUGUACAAUUAAGAGUUCACAAUUAUGGUUAUUCAGCUAUUCUGAUUAUUAUAUGAAAUUAUGAAUACGCUUGUAAGAGAGAAUUUACUUGCAGUGAGAAAUUUUAUUUUCCUGAACAAAAGAACCAGAUAAAGUAAUGAGACAGAAAGGCUUGUUGGUGUACACAAGGCAGCUGCUUACCACUCAAAGCGUAUCAUCUACCAUCUUCAUUCAUUAAUUUAAUCCAGCCUCCUGAAGCAAUGCAAUAUCUUCAUCUGCUGUCAAGUUUGUUCCUCAUAUUCACAGCCCUAUUUGUAAACCAGAAUUUUGCCUCUCCUAUCUUAAAUGUAACUUGUUCCUUGAUUAAAAGAAGCUGAUAUAUUUGUCCCUUUGAUGAAGCCCUUCUUGCACCUUCUGUUGUGAGGCAAGCCUCUCACGUCUUGUUAUAAAGGCAAAAAAUCUAUAUAGACAAAGUUGUGAAUGACAAGUAAUGUCUUUUACCUCCCCUUGCAUUAAAGACCUGGUGGACAAGAAACAGUGCUGAGCUUGGCACCAGUUGUUUUUGUGACAGUGAAGCGUGAGCUCUGCAUUGCAUAGCUAUUGUUCUGUCUCAAAUAAAUUACUGUACUUACAGCUUGAAACAUGACUUAUUAACCUUUUGUGUGUAAA